UCGCCCAUUCUAUUCGCAGCAUCGGCACACACUGCCGCUGUUGACCAUCAUUAUUCGGUCGUAAUCCCGACGUCCUCCUCCUGUUGUGCCCUUGGCUUAUUGCCUCGAGGUGCCACCCAAAUGCGCGUGGCUGCAAAACUGUUUCAUCAUGGUCAGGCGCAGGUAGAUGACAACAAGCUGCAGAACAAUGAGCAGCUCGACAGAGGAGUACCGACGCAACACUCGCCAUAGGGAAUUGGGAAGGUACAGAGUUGGGCUCCCCUGAUCACUAUAUUUAUUGGGAAGCUUGGUACAAGACAAUCUUAGUUUGGGCUAUGAUGCAACAAUAGGUAUGUGCUUUUUAACCGUGUUUUGGGUGUUCAUUUUUAAGUGCAGUACAAAUGUCAUGUUUCAUAUUUCUCCAACAGCGUAAUAAUAUUUAGAGGUUCGGUAGUUAACUCUUGCAUAUAGGUACUCUCAUAUACAUGUUUCUAUCCUUUUACCUAUUUUUGUUUGCCAUUUGUUUACGCGGGCGCUUGCUAAUUUUACAAGUUAUCUAUUGUAUAUUGCCAUGAUGCUUUUGAUGCCAAAAUCAUGUUUUUUGCUGCUCAUGUUGGCACUGUCCUCCCCAUUCUUCAGGUAAAGUUUUAGUUCUAAGCUCCGAUGUUCUAUACAAAUGGCAGAUUUCAAAAAUAAUGAAGUAUGAUGUGCAUGUUUCAUGGAUUAUAACAACAUCUUGGUUCUUUAUUUUAGGUUCAAGCUGAGUGAACAGUAUUUUUGAUCCAAGUGACUGGUUUUAGCUUGUCAACUUGACAUAUGUAUGCAUGAAUCCCACUUUUCACAUCCUUUGACUCUGUGGGUCAUUUUAGAACCUCCGAUGUGUUUUUAUUUGCAGUAUACAGCGUCGACGAGCAGAAAAACACUUUUGCGUUGCACAAGGUUUUGAUUGCCAAAGCUGGACUUGACUGAGCAGAUACAUUGACGAUGUUCAUCAAGGGGUUGUUGGAUAUCUUGACCGGUUUGCAGUACUUGGAAGAAAACUUCCUAGGUAACGUUCAGUAGAUAAAUGAUUUUAAUGUUACAUAGCACACUCCUCUCUGCAUGUUCCAUGCCAAGUGGAGCAAACCCUGUUUUACUGCUUUUGUGUGACUGUAGUUCGGAACAAGAUUCCUUCAGUGGGUUCUACAUUUUAAGUUUAAUAUGAGAAAUGCUGUCAAAUUAUCAAUAUGCACUUAUUAUUGUAACUCAAUGUGAAUCGAGUUCUUUGUAUUUCUUUGUGCUUGUUACUGGGUAUUAUUUGUUAAGACCACUCUAAGCAGAGAGAAUCAAAACAAAGGAUGGUAAGCUGAAACUUACUGCAUUUGUUUUUGAAAAACUACCACUGUUUCCAGAACACACAUAAACUAUAGCUUUUUAGUAGCAAGAUCCAUUCUUAUUCUCAGAUUCUCAAAUGCAGUAGUGCAUGAAAAUAGAUUCCUAGCCAUAGGGAAAAACUAUGUUGUGAAGCCCAAUAAAACUUGAGAAAACGGGUUAAUGAUGUGGUCCAAGCAAGCUUAAAUAAGAGGUAAAGACGCCCAGAUCCUGGGAUUACCAAAGUUAACGUUUACGUGGCAUUCUCAUGUGCCAAUGCUCGUGUGACCAUGGAGUUAAUUGUAAGACGUACUAGAGGUGAGUUCAUUAUAGCAGCGUCUCAGAGGUAUGCAAAUAUUCCAAACUCUCUGGUUGCUGAAACACUUCUCUCCAGGAUGUGAUACGUACGACCUGUGAAGGAGGAAGAAUGGCCUGAUGUUACCUUUCAAUAUGAUUGUCAGGUACUGGUGGAGAUGUGGAACUAAUGAAAACAGAACAUAUCAGACAUUAUGGGCCUCCUGUGUGAAAUUGAGGAGCCGAGCCAAGCCUUUUGUUCCUUACGGUGUCUUCUAUUCUUAGAGGCUGAUUUCUGUGUGCAAAGCUGCCCCUGCAGGUUAGUGACCGGAGACUGUGGCAUAAUGCUGCUCCGGAUCAACUUGCUUUUUGAUGCAAACUGACAGUAAUCAUGAGGAAGAGA